CCCAUCCGUCCUAUCCAUGCUCUUCUGAACUGGCCUUAACUCUCACUCUCUCUCUGAUUUGGCUCCAGGGUGCCGUGAGUUAUCACAUUGGGCAUCACUGUCCCCACUCCACAGGAAGGACACUGAAGUUUAGACAGAACAAUGCUCUGCGUGAAGGCUGUGUUGUAUGGAAGGUGAUACGAUGCUUCCUUAUCCCUUGCUUGCCUGAGCCCUUCUCCAGUCCAAAGGUGUUUGAGCUUAGCCAAGGGAGGCUGAACACAGAGGUAGGUAGAGAAAUGGCAAUGUGGAUAGACAAUCCCAGUUUCAAAGAGCCUGCUCCAUUGUCCACAUAAAUCAACUCAGAAUUGUCAGGCGACACAUAUGCCUGUGUGCUGCCUGGGCAGUGGGGUCACCAUGAGUAUACACACCCACCCUCUGGGUUCCCACUUCUAAAAACAUUAAAACACGGUGAGAUGACCAGACAAGCAGCACUGAGCAGCAUGCUUUCUGCCUUUGACUGUUAAGUACCCCCCUCUAGAGCCACCCCACGGGCCAAGCAAUAAUGAAAGACGCGACUUUCAGGUGUCUUAUAACAGAAAAGUGUUCCGGACACGCUGCAACCACUGGCACGGUUCAAAAGAAAGAACACAAAGAAGGAAGAAUAGGAGGAAGGCGAGAAGAAUAACUUUCUUAGAAAAUAGAAGAAUCAUCCAGAAUUGACUAUCAACAACAUUCUAAAGAUUGGAUUCUGAACAGAGGCACACUUGGCAUAUUCUUGUUGGCAUGUUUCCAUCUGAGUAACUUCUUGCUCCGGAAAGUGAAGGGUAAAAGGAAAGGGUCCCCAUUUUGAAGUGCAGAACAUUCAGCUGGUGCCUGGAGGAAUGCAGUCCCUUGCAUAGUUCCUCCUGGUCACAUUUGCACAAUCAUAGGCACAGGUAGGAAGUGCUUGUUAACAAAGUCUUGACUAGGAGAUAACUGGACCAUAGCAUGUUUUCCUAAAGUUGAUAUGUAGUUCAGUGGCCCAGAAAGCUGUCUUUCCUUAAACUGGGGAGAGACUCAAGUCUUUGUUUACCUCUGGGAAAUAGUAAGCUCAGGCUUAACAACACACACACACACACACACACACACACACACACACACACAAUGACUAAUUCAAUUUUACUACAAAAUUUCCUUUUCAUAGAAAGCAUGAUUAUAUACUAUAAAAUUUAACAAACUUUGAGCAUCUGGGAGUAAGAGACGAUGAACUAACUAGGUCCUGACCCUGAGAAGCACAGUUUGUUGGGAAAGACAUGUACAUAAAUACAUAUAACAUUUUGACAUUUCUAUAUAAGUAUAAACUGGAUAUUGGGU
rnacentral:lncRNA from 1 species